rnacentral:rRNA from 1 species
GACGAACGCUGGCGGCGUGCCUAACACAUGCAAGUCGAGCGGGGUCCAUCCGGUAGCAAUACCGGGGAAGACCUAGCGGCGAACGGGUGAGUAACACGUGAGAAACCUGCCCCGAAGUCUGGGAUAACCCGAGGAAACUCGAGCUAAUACCGGAUGUCUUCUUCUGAUCGCAUGGUCGGAUGAAGAAAGAUUUAUCGCUUCGGGAGGGUCUCGCGGCCUAUCAGCUAGUUGGCGGGGUAACGGCCCACCAAGGCGUCGACGGGUAGCUGGUCUGAGAGGACGAUCAGCCACACUGGGACUGAGACACGGCCCAGACUCCUACGGGAGGCAGCAGUGGGGAAUAUUGCGCAAUGGGCGAAAGCCUGACGCAGCAACGCCGCGUGCGGGAUGAAGGCCUCGG